rnacentral:misc_RNA from 1 species
UUCACUGCCACUUUUUCACUCUUUUUCCAUUUUUCUCCCCUUUUUCAAUUUGACAAAAUGCACAAUGUUUCCAACUUACUAUUUGCAACAGCUAACACUAAAAUUUUACAAUAAAACAAAAGGGGAGGCUAACCCAGAAACCUCCACAAAAUAAUGCUUCCAACCCAUGCUCUAACAACUGUGGAUUGAGGGAUGAUUCACAAUCUAAUUACAAACCAUUCGAGUUCAAG